rnacentral:lncRNA from 1 species
AUAAGACAGUAUUCAUAGAUAAUUCAUUUUCUUCUUGUCUCCAGGACUGUAAUACUUCAGAGAACCAUGGCCAGUGAUUGUCUGAAGAAAAUUAAUUUCUGUAGAGUAUUCAAGAUAAUUUUGUCUGUGAAUACCAGUAAUAACACUGUACUUCAUUUCUCCACUUCUAUGCACAGUUUGACCGGGAUUCUUUUUACCCUUAUUUCUACACUUUAAACAACUGUUUAUAUAAGCAGGUAAGUUUUCUUUUUUUUCUUCAUUUCUUACUUCUUCACUGCAAUUUUUUUUACUUUUUUUUUUCUUUUAAAAGAAAAUUCCCUUUUCUUUUCCCCCUAAAAUGUAUAAUGCUCUUUACUCGCUCUUAAUAAUUUAAAUAGAUGUUUUCCAGCCUGGCUGAAGAAUGUCUGAAACAGUUUGAAGUUCAAGGGGAUGUUUGUGUGUGUUUUGGCCUAUGUUAAGCAGUUAAAAAAGAGUGCUGGUGUCUUACUAGAGGAAACUUCUGGCUUCCAACUGAGAACCUCUUGAGAGCUUAUUUGUUGCUGUACGUGCUCUGUCUGGUAUGGCACUGAUACUUUUCACAUUUUAGAGAUUUCUCUUUAUGACCACCACUUCUUCUGUGAGUAUUCUAGCUUCUCCUCUCCUUCUCUUUUUCUUUGUAGGGAAAUAGAAUUAAUGAAAGCUAAAAAAACAAGCCAAAACAAAACUAAGCACAACUCCCAGCAAUGUCUCUGAAAAGUAACCUGCCAAAAGAGAAGGGAAACUAUUCUCCAGUUCCCUUAUGGUAUGCAUAAUAGAGCUCCAUUCUCAGCCUCCACCUUCUGUCCUGAUACCUCAAGAUGAUCGAUGCUUUAGCCAGCAUCAUCUGAACCACUUGGGAACAGAGGCUCCUGGAAAUGGGUGCCACUCCAUAGAGCGUAUCACCAGGUGGUGGGACCUCUGUCCCUCAUUAGGGUGUCCUCCUGGGGAAAUCAUCAUCUCUGAGAGCAGGAGAUAGAAAGGAGGAUAGAGGAAUUUUGGGAGAAAACGGGAAAAAAAAACAAACAACACAACGGGAAAAUAUAAAAGAAAAAGGUGAAAGAAGAUGAAAGAAUUGGAACUUUUUGAGUACGUGUAAGUAUUGAGAGCAUUUCUAUAAUAUCCUUUCUUUUCUUUUUCCCCUCCAGAAAUUUUAUAUAAUCUUAAUGUAAGUGAAUCAACUGUAUGUAAUAGUUUUUCUUAGUUUUGUCCAUCAGUUUC